rnacentral:sRNA from 1 species
GCACCUGCUCCUCAAGUCUUCCUGCAACAAGUGCCACUGUUUUUAGGAAUCUGGGCGUCCACAUAGACAUCUCACCAGUACUGAAACCUCAUAAGUCCUCUCAGCCUUGUCUUUGGAUGCCCUCUCUUGGGAAUGUCCCCAGUCCUGGCAGGAUGCCUGAGCUGUAUCCCCCAGCACACCCGUUCCCGCAGCCUUCCACUGUGGCUGCAGGCGGUGGUGCAGCCCUUCAGACUGCUGCCCAGUUGCCUGCUGUCAGAGCCCCUCCACACAUGAGCCUGCUCCCUACUGCCACCACCGUGGCGCAGACAGACGCUUUCCGAGGAAGAGGUGAAGCUCCUGCAGUCGCUGAAGUAGGGACAGCAGAUCGUGAGGAAAAAGGGCGCCGAGGUUGGGGGCAUGUCUCUCUUCUUACCAAGCUAGACUGGGUUGCCUUUUCUAACUAUUCCAGACCUACAGGGCGAGGGGCCAUAAUGGAGUAUCCCGCCCCUUUAGACCCCAGGCGCUCACCGGCAGGUGCAAGAAGGUGAAAUCCAGCAGCCGCACCAGCUGGUUGCCCGCCAGGUAGAGCACGCGCAGCUGGGCCAGGCCUGCGAAGGCGCCGCUGCGCAAGCUGCGCAGCCGGUUGCUGGUGAGCGCCAGCUCCAGCAGGCGCGGCUGCGCGCGGAAGGCGCCGGCCUCCAGGGCGCGCAGGCUGUUGUUAUGCAGGUAGAGCCGGCGCAGAGCGGCGAGUGGCGCCAGGGCUCCCGGCUCUAGGCGCGCGAUGUUGUUGUCCUGCAGGAACAGUGUCUGCAGGCCCGGGAAAGAGGAGGCGCUUAUCCCGCUGCGGGGGUCUUCCUCUCCCUGGGGGCACCCCGUCCUCCCGCAGCUCCACACGGUGCCCACCUGCGUCCCUGGCGGGAUUCCCAGCGGGACGACGCGCAACCGCAGGGCGCCACACU